GCGUGAGUGAUGAAGGCCUUAGGGUUGUAAAGCUCUUUCACCGGAGAAGAUAAUGACGGUAUCCGGAGAAGAAGCCCCGGCUAACUUCGUGCCAGCAGCCGCGGUAAUACGAAGGGGGCUAGCGUUGUUCGGAAUUACUGGGCGUAAAGCGCACGUAGGCGGAUCGAUCAGUCAGGGGUGAAAUCCCGCAGCUCAACUGCGGAACUGCCUUUGAUACUGUCGGUCUAGAGUAUGGAAGAGGUGAGUGGAAUUCCGAGUGUAGAGGUGAAAUUCGU
rnacentral:rRNA from 1 species